AUUGAACGCUGGCGGCAGGCCUAACACAUGCAAGUCGAGCGGAUGAAGGGAGCUUGCUCCUGGAUUCAGCGGCGGACGGGUGAGUAAUGCCUAGGAAUCUGCCUGGUAGUGGGGGAUAACGUCCGGAAACGGGCGCUAAUACCGCAUACGUCCUGAGGGAGAAAGUGGGGGAUCUUCGGACCUCACGCUAUCAGAUGAGCCUAGGUCGGAUUAGCUAGUUGGUGGGGUAAAGGCCUACCAAGGCGACGAUCCGUAACUGGUCUGAGAGGAUGAUCAGUCACACUAGAACUGAGACACGGUCCAGACUCCUACGGGAGGGAGCAGUGGGGAAUAUUGGACAAUGGGCGAAAGCCUGAUCCAGCCAUGCCGCGUGUGUGAAGAAGGUCUUCGGAUUGUAAAGCACUUUAAGUUGGGAGGAAGGGCAGUAAGUUAAUACCUUGCUGUUUUGACGUUACCAACAGAAUAAGCACCGGCUAACUUCGUG
rnacentral:rRNA from 1 species